UACAGAGGUCUCAAGCGUUGUUCGGAUUCAUUGGGCGUAAAGGGUGCGUAGGUGGCGAGGUUAGUCAGGUGUGAAAUCUCGGGGCUCAACCCCGAAACUGCACUUGAUACUGCCUUGCUAGAGUACUGGAGAGGAGAUUGGAAUUUACGGUGUAGCAGUGAAAUGCGUAGAUAUCGUAAGGAAGACCAGUGGCGAAGCGAAUCUCUGGACAGUUACUGACACUGAGGCAGCGAAGGCCAGGGAGGCAAACGG
rnacentral:rRNA from 1 species